rnacentral:lncRNA from 1 species
UAGAAUAAGAUCACAACGUGAUCUGUUUAAGUUAUAAAAGAAAGAUGGUCUGUAAUGUUUGAAUGAUUAUAACUUGAUGCUAUGAAGAUAUUGUACUAUGAUAUAGUACGAGAUAAACUCACGAGGAGUUAUAAGUGAUGUGAUACGAGGAAUUUGUAUCGAGCAAAGAAUAAGUUAUAAGUAAGAUAAAGUUAGAAGGGAUUUCAAUUGAGGACUCAUGUGAUGGCUGAGUUGUACAAACCUUUGUAUGGGCGAGGGUUUUGUGCUUGCACUCAGUUUCUGAAGUCUUUCAGUUCCUAUUUUCUACGUGGACUUGAUGAACUGUUUUAAAUUGUAU